UUUUCUUUCUUAUUCAUUUUUCUCUUUUCUUCUUCCGUUCUUCCUUCUCUUUUCUCUGUCGAUUCAGUUUCUAAGGUUUGAGCUCAAAUUUGUUGUGGCUAAUUCAUAAGAAGUUUGUAAUUUGAAGAAUCGAAGAAGUAGAUGAUUCCACCAAGGUUGGUUGAGCACGGGAAGGAUGGAUGGAGUUGUUUCUGUAAAUUAAGUUAGGGUUUCUGAAAGAUGAAGUUUGAUUGAGGAAUUAUAUGAAAUUGAGUAUGAAGUCAAUUCAUUGAAGAUGGGUUUUUUCUAUCGAGAGUAAAGAAGAAUAUUUAGUAUCUGAUAUCGAUUCACAGUGAAGGUUUGGCGAAUUAGGGUUAUAGUUGGAUUCGAAAUUUGAAUGAAAUUAUUAAGUUGAUUGAGUUGUUCUUAGAUGAAGGAUAAAUGGGUUGUUGUUGAAUUAAUGAGGUGAAGCGGUUCUGUUUAAGGGGUUUCGUGUAAAUAUUCAUAGAUGUCUUAGAAGAAUAAAUUGAGUUGAUGAAGACUAUGAGGCGUGGUUUGAAGAAGAAUUUGAUUGGUAGAAGCUGAACGUGCUAAUGAUUGAGGUAAUUUAUUUCCUCUGGAAAUUUAGUGAGAGUAUUUCUUGUUGUUGUGGUCUUAAAUUUGAUUAUAACAUUGAAAUGGUGGUGAAUGAUGAUUGUUGAGCUAUGUUGAUGUUGUUCGAGUUUCAAUCCAGUGGUAUGUCUCAACAGAUGAGUAUUGACAUGAAUCAGUGUUAUAGAUUGGUGGUAGUGGUUUUGUCAGUUACGGGGUAUGGGGGAAGUUUAUGAUACAGGGAUUGAGCUUUAAGAACUGAGGUGGUUGAUGGCCUGGUGUUUGUAAGGUAGUUGAACUGAGAUGUAUGUAUAUUUGAAGAGGCGGUUGAUUAAGAAGAUUAUGAUGUUUGAUGCAUGAGGAACUGUAAUUGAAGUAAGGUUCUGUGAUUGUUUAUAAUUCUAGGAUGAAUUAAUGAAAUUGUGUUGAAUGACAGUGGCAGAUGAGAUGGAGGUGGAGUUAAGAUUCUGGUGGAGUUGUUAAUGGUGUUGUGAUUCCAAAUGAAUUGCAGGCCUGAAGUUGAUGGUGUUAUAUGAGUUGUUGAUUUUGGUAUUGUAAUUGAGUUUUGGAAUUCAGGUUUAGUAGUGGAAUUUGUUAUAGCUAGUGGUGCUGGAAAUAUUACAAAGAAGAUUGUGAGAAUAGUUAUAGACAUGGAGUUGCUGCUUCUAUGUAGAUUAAUGUUGUAGCAGGAUGUAGAAGGAGUGUUGCUUAGAACUGCUCUUGCAGUUUCAGAGACAGAUCAGAGUUGCGCAGCGAAAGCUUCGAGGAGUUGAAUCUGUUAAUUAGUUAACUUCUGAUAUGUGUAUUAUGUCGUUUAUUUUAUUUGCAAACCAAAAUGACUAUUGUAUAUGUAUCAUUUGAGAGAAGUUCUUGUAUAUAUAUUCCUGAGCGGGGCUAGUAUUGGGUUAAGUUCCAUGGAAGAUUUUCUAAAUGAAUGUUAAAGUAAAUGUUUUAGAUCCUUAGUGCCUCUUUGUUUAGUUAAUCACUUGGAUUAGUCAGCUGUUAGCUUUAGGGGCGCUGCAGUUUUCAUCUUCAUGUUUUUAGAUUUAUUUGUUUAAAUUCUAAAAUUGUUUGAAAGAUGAUUUUUUGCAGUAUUAA